GUGCCAGCCGCCGCGGUAAUACCGGCAGCCCGAGUGAUGGCCGAUCUUAUUGGGCCUAAAGUGUCCGUAGCUGGGUCUGAAAGUCCAUCGGGAAAUCCACUCGCUCAACGAGUGGCCGUCCGGUGGAAACUCCACACCAUGGGACCGGAAGGCUCGAAGGGUACGGCCGGGGUAGGAGUGAAAUCCUGGAAUCCCGUCCGGACCACCGAUGGCGAAAGCACUUCGAGAAAACGGAUCCGACAGUGAGGGACGAAAGCUAAGAUCGCGAACCGGAUUAGAGACCCGGGAGUCC
rnacentral:rRNA from 1 species